GACGAACGCUGGCGGCGUGCUUAACACAUGCAAGUCGAACGGAAAGGCCCUGCUUUUGUGGGGUGCUCGAGUGGCGAACGGGUGAGUAACACGUGAGUAUGCUGCCCUUGACUUUGGGAUAACUUCAGGAAACUGGGGCUAAUACCGGAUAGGAGCUCCUGCUGCUUGGUGGGGGUUGGAAAGUUUCGGCGGUUGAGGAUGGACUCGCGGCUUAUCAGCUUGUUGGUGGGGUAGUGGCUUACCAAGGCUUUGACGGGUAGCCGGCCUGAGAGGGUGACCGGCCACAUUGGGACUGAGAUACGGCCCAGACUCCUACGGGAGGCAGCAGUGGGGAAUAUUGCACAAUGGGCGGAAGCCUGAUGCAGCAACGCCGCGUGCGGGAGGACGGCCUUCGGGUUGUAAACCGCGUUCGCCUGUGACGAAGCGUGAGUGACGGUAAUGGGUAAAGAAGCACCGGCUAACUACGU
rnacentral:rRNA from 1 species